rnacentral:rRNA from 1 species
CCUACGGGCGGCAGCAGUGAGGAAUAUUGGUCAAUGGUCGGGAGACUGAACCAGCCAAGCCGCGUGAGGGAGGAAGGUACAGAGUAUCGUAACCCUCUUUUGUUAGGGAACAAAGGCGGGGACGUGUCCCCGGAUGAGUGUACCUGAAGAAAAAGCAUCGGCUAACUCCGUGCCAGCAGCCGCGGUAAUACGGAGGAUGCGAGCGUUAGCCGGAUUUAUUGGGUUUAAAGGGGUCGCAGGCGGUCUGUUAAGUCAGCGGUCAAAGCCCGGGGUUCAACCCCGCCCCGCCGUUGAAACUGGCAGUCUCGAGUUGGAGAGAAGUAUGCGGAAUGCGCGGUGUAGCGGUGAAAGGCAUAGAUAUCGCGCAGAACUCCGAUUGCGAAGGCAGCAUGCCGGCUCCACACUGACGCUGAGGCACGAAAGCGUGGGUAUCGAACAGGAUUAGAUACCCUAGUAGUC